UCUGCAACUCCUCCAGGAGCAGACACCGACCGAGUCGGGCACAAGCAUCGUUCAGAAUGACGAGGCAAGAGGUCCUAUCUUUAUCCGAUGUCUCUGAUUCUUUCCAAGAAACAGACCUAUUUACAUGUCAUGGUUCUUCUUCUUCUUCUUCUUCUUCUUCUUCUUUUCUUUCUAUCUUUUCCGGUCUAAGUUGAAAAGAUUUCGUUGUUCACGUUGGUCGUGUAAGCUUGCCUGGUGUGGGACUAGUGGCGAACUUGUCGAGACUCAUAAUGGUGAGAAAAGAAUCGGUCGAUUUUUUGGUGCAGUUCUUGAUGCAUUCUCUGCAGACUUGUGUUUCACAUGGAAAUCGGCUUGUUGGAGCCCUAAAUUUUGUUUAUAAUUGAAAUCAAUAAGAUAUUUCUUAUUUUCUAAAAUCUUAUUCAAUAAUUAGCUUAUAUAUAUAAAUCCUCAGAAGAAAAGAGCAAAUAAGGAAAAGAAGAAAUCAACACAAAACAAGACGGCCAUUUGAGAUAGAGGGGUCAUUAUCGACAAGUGGACCAAUUGGUUAGAUCAUAAUUUAAUGCAAAGCUUUCUUUUGAUUUUAAAUUUGAAAAAAAAUAAAGUAUGAGGUGCUUUCUUUUGAUUCUAAAUUCUGAAAGGUCCCCGGUAAAUUAAAUGCUGCGUCACUUCAAAUUUUAGUAUUUUACAUAUAUGUCAUUGCAAAUUCUAACAACACCAUAUUUUUUCCUCGUGUUUUGGGCGCUCGUUCUCGAAUGCAUUGGUUGUUCCUUCUCUCCCUCUUUUUUUCUAUUGAUCUGCUAUUUAAAUGUCUUAGUUGUUGGAUGUCUUGUUUAAUUGUUUCUUUGAUUCUAUAUACGUUUAGUCUUUUCUCUAGUGUUUCUUUUGAACUUUCUUUUUCUCUUGUGCUUUUGUUCUGCACAGAAUUGCAUCCGAGGAAGAUGAAGCCAAACUCUAUAAGCCUUUCUCAUUCUUAUAUAUGCCAGGGAAUAAGUAUUUGAGUUUAGGUGCUUAAUAAGGGAAGUAAAUAUUAGAUUUUAGGUGCUUUCGGCAUUGAAUACGAGUGUAAUACCAGUUUGAGUCCUAACGCUCUUGCUUCUUCUGCUGACUGCUUUCAUUCUUUGAUUUGACUUGUGCUAACGAGUAUAAUUUGAAAGUAAGAAAUGAUUGUUUGACUUGCUCCAAUGGAGUGUAGUGGGCAGUCCGGUUAUGAUCUUAUCUUAAAUGUGCCUGGAUUUCAAUUGGGUAGCAACGUUCUUAAAGUUUAGUGCCUAGCUGAGUUCUUCUUGUUUAGAGGUCAGGAGUUAGCAGUUAGGUUACCGCAGAGUAAGAUGCCAGCAGUUAGGCUACCGCUACAUAAAAUGUCAGCAGUUAGGUUAGGUUCCGCUGUUCUAUUAGUUUUGCACUCCAUUCUAUUCCAUAAGUGAGUUUUAGAGUAAUAAGUGAGUUUGUUGGCGAAAGCCUUAGUGAUUAAAGGAAGCAAAGAAGGUCAUUUGAGAAUGCUUAUUCAGGUCAUAAUAUGGUUGACUUGAAUUUUUCUGAUGAAUAUAAAUUCCAUUUAUUCAGUUUUGCUUUAUUCUUUUCCUGGAAAAUUACAUGUGUUCAUCUCCUAACAAGUCUUAACAAUCUCUAUUCUGAUCUAAGUAUUCCUUUUCUUGUAUACUACUUGGUGCUGAUUUCCUUAACCAGUACCAAGAAAAUCUAGUCUAUACAAUAAUUUCAAUUUUCAAGGGUACAAUAUAAAUCUUAAUUGAUUUAUAUGAUAUGAUUAACUAUGUCACCUGUUUACACAUGCAAAUUGUUCUACUGACGGAAGCAUAUAGCCUUUCUCUAACCUUAGUUGUUUUCAGGAAAAAAAUGAGUUUUAUCUAAGAGCUUAUUGGCAGUCUCAGUUGGAAUAAAACCAAAAGAAAUGGUAAUUGAACUUGUAAAGAAGGCACUUACAAUAUUGUUUACAUUUUUCUUUCUUCAUUUUAAAAACUCCUAGUAUGAACUAAUAAGUUGAAGAUGACUAUUUCCUCCUGGUUAUGUUGUUUAUUGUAUCUCCUUCCUUUUCUGUAAUUUCACUGUAAUGCUUUUCCACUAUGAUGGAAUUGUUGAUCAAUGGAGUGACACUGCAGUACAUAUCUCUGCAAUCAAUCGAACCAAAUGGUGGUUUGCUAAGCAUUUCUUACAUCCAGAUAUAGUGGCUGAGUAUAAACACAUCUUCCUUUGGGAUGAAGACAUUGGAGUAGAAAAUUUUCACCCUGGAAGGUUUGUGGAAAUGAUGGUUCCAGUUUUCACAAAAGCUGCUUGGCAAUGUGCAUGACAUAUGAUCCAAGUAUUCUGUCAUUGGUGGGGGGUUUAGACAUGAAAUUUGGUUACUGUCUGCUCAGAUCUUUCUACUUCGUUGUGCAUUGAUCGUGCAACAAUCUGACACGGAUACUUGCAGGAUUCUAAUGGAUCAUCUACCACCGCUCUUAGAGCUGCUGUGAUACAUGGUUGCUACCUGAGCUGGGUAUCUUUAGAAGGAGAUGGCAACAAGCAGUGGAAGAAGAUUAAGUGCUGGAUUGACCCAUACCCUCGAGCUUGAAAGAUACAUCAAUUCAUUCCACCAUCUUCUCAACUUCGGUAAGAACACAACGCCAAGUACAAUAGUCAUCUACAACGCCAAAGACGAUGUUACUCCAUGUAUUAAGCUUACAUGAGGUUCUGCUAUUCGGAUAUCACCAAGUAUGAAAA